UACGUAGGGUGCAAGCGUUAAUCGGAAUUACUGGGCGUAAAGCGUGCGCAGGCGGCUUUGCAAGACAGAUGUGAAAUCCCCGGGCUUAACCUGGGAACUGCAUUUGUGACUGCAAGGCUAGAAUCUGGCAGAGGGGGGUAGAAUUCCACGUGUAGCAGUGAAAUGCGUAGAUAUGUGGAGGAAUACCGAUGGCGAAGGCAGCCCCCUGGGCUAAGAUUGACGCUCAUGCACGAAAGCGUGGGGAGCAAACAGG
rnacentral:rRNA from 1 species